UGGCCCACCUGCUGGGGGCCCAUGUGUUCACUGGGUACAUUCACUCUUGCUAAGAUGCUCAAAUAGUUUGCUGUCUAACAUUGAUCCUUGGGGGUGUGCGCUGAAGACCUAGUGGUCAGUUCUGGGCCUUUCCUGCCUCCUGACACCUAAUAGUUACUUAGGAAGAAUUCUCUUUACAGAUCUACCCUCAUCUUUGUUGAUCUGAUUUGAUGCAGCACACCAGAGCCUCUGGCCUCAGGAGGCAGAGAAGAACAGUGGGUUUAUGGAUCUGAAGGGUGGUCUUGGAUGUUCUUCCUGUGGAAGAAGGGUCCCCUUGCCUGGUGCUGCCCCAUCAAGCCCAGGCACUGGGGUCCGCCCUCAGGCCUGCAGACUGUCUUCUACAUGAUGGCUGAUGUCGAGAGGGGAGUGAAGGUGCCUCCCCCAAACACAGGCAUCAGGUAAGGGAAGAGCAUCUUCUGCAAGUUAUUGAUUUGUCUAUACAUUUCAGAUACACACAAGCCUGG
rnacentral:lncRNA from 1 species